AACGUAGGACGCAAGCGUUAUCCGGAGUUACUGGGCGUAAAGCGCGGGCAGGCGGCCUCGCAAGUCUGAUGUGAAAGCACCAUGCUCAACAUGGUGACGCCAUUGGAAACUACAAGGCUGGAGUCUGGCAGAGGUAGGCGGAAUUCCGGGUGGAGUGGUGAAAUGCGUAGAGAUCCGGAGGAACACCAGAGGCGAAGGCGGCCUACUGGGCCAGUACUGACGCUGAGCCGCGAAAGCCAGGGGAGCGAACGGG
rnacentral:rRNA from 1 species